rnacentral:lncRNA from 1 species
UCGCUACUAUCUAGAUCUACUCUAGUUUAGAGAAGAGAGGAGAGCUCUCAUCUCUAAACCCUAGCUUUUGCUCUGUCUAUGAAUAAUGAAUAAUGAUCAAAGGGGUGCCUCCUCCAGGGGCCAGGGGGUCUGGUUUUAUAGUCCCCUCAAUUGAACCUGGGCCGUCGGAUCAAACCGACAUUGAUUGAACGGUUAUUCUUGAUCCUUUAGGUCGGUGGAGCAUAAUCUGCGAGAUUGAGCGUGAUUGGCUGAAAAAGGUGGGCGGGCGCCCUAAGGACUUGGGCGGGCGCCCUGUCCCUGACUCCGUUCGGUCUCCGCUUCCUUCCCGUGGCUUCUGGAGUCUUCUAGAUGUAAGAUAAUUGCGCGGCACGUUGAUAUCUCUAUGUAAUCCCGACGUGUGGGCCUUUCCUCCUUAUUUCCUGAUAAACCCCUGCAGAAAUAGACAAACACCAAAACUCGUGGAAUUCUGUCAGAUAAAACCCUAAGUCUUGAUGUUGAUUUCAUUUGGAUCCUUUUCUUUGUUUAUUUGAUAGUUAAAUUUGAUACUUAAGGACCGUCAACAAACUCCCCCAAGCUUACCUCUUGCUCGUCCCGGAGCAAGGAUAGACUCAGCUAU